AUUGAACGCUGGCGGCAGGCCUAACACAUGCAAGUCGAGCGAGCGGCGGACGGGUGAGUAAUGUAUGGGGACUGCCCGAUAGAGGGGGAUAACUACUGGAAACGGUGGCUAAUACCGCAUAAUAGCGGAAAACCCAUAUGGGAUUAGCUAGUAGGUGGGGUAAAGGCUCACCUAGGCGACGAUCUCUAGCUGGUCUGAGAGGAUGAUAAGCCAAACUGGGACUGAGACACUGCCCAGACUCCUACGGAGGCAGCAGUGUGGAAUAUUGCACCAUGGGCGCAAGCCUGAUACAGCCAUGCCGCGUGUAUGAAGAAGGCCUUAGGGUUGUAAAGUACUUUCAGCGGGGAGGCGUUACCCGCAGAAGAAGCACCGGCUAACUCCGUGCCAGCCGCCGCGGUAAUUC
rnacentral:rRNA from 1 species